UGGGGAAUAUUGGACAAUGGGCGAAAGCCUGAUCCCGCCAUGCCGCGUGUGUGAAGAAGGUCUUCGGAUUGUAAAGCACUUUAAGUUGGGAGGAAGGGCAGUAAGCGAAUACCUUGCUGUUUUGACGUUACCGACAGAAUAAGCACCGGCUAACUCUGUGCCAGCAGCCGCGGUAAUACAGAGGGUGCAAGCGUUAAUCGGAAUUACUGGGCGUAAAGCGCGCGUAGGUGGUUCGUUAAGUUGAAUGUGAAAGCCCCGGGCUCAACCUGGGAACUGCAUCCAAAACUGGCGAGCUAGAGUAGGGCAGAGGGUGGUGGAAUUUCCUGUGUAGCGGUGAAAUGCGUAGAUAUAGGAAGGAACACCAGUGGCGAAGGCGACCACCUGGGCUCAUACUGACACUGAGGUGCGAAAGCGUGGGGAGCAAACAGG
rnacentral:rRNA from 1 species